rnacentral:rRNA from 1 species
UACGUAGGGGGCAAGCGUUGUCCGGAAUCAUUGGGCGUAAAGCGCGCGUAGGCGGCCAGAUUAGUCCGGUGUGAAAGUCAGAGGCUCAACCUUUGAAUGCCGCUGGAAACUGUCUGGCUUGAGUCCGGAAGGGGCGAGUGGAAUUCCGUGGUGUAGCGGUGAAAUGACGCAGAUAUGCGGAGGAACACCGAUGGCGAAGGCAAUCCCCUGGACCUGUACUGACGCUCAUGCACGAAAGCGUGGGGAGCAAACAGG